UCAGCUCUCUUUGCCUUUUUGGCUUAGAUCAAGAUGCAGUAACUGUUCUUCUUAGUUUAAUCUCUAGGAUGUACCUACGGGUACCUAGUGAUUAAACCAGUUUUUGGGAACUGUGCUGGUGGUCCCUGAGCAUCGCUCAUACUCCGGCUCACAGUGUCGCCAGUAUUGCACUAUCUCUGGCUGACGCAACCACCU
rnacentral:snRNA from 1 species